rnacentral:tRNA from 1 species
GGAAGCGUAGCUCAGUCGGUAGAGCAGCUGACUCUUAAUCAGCGGGUCUGGGGUUCGAGCCCCCACGCUUCUACCA